GGUAGUGUAGUUAACACCUGCAUUAUUUGACGUUACCUACAGAAGAAGCACCGGCUAACUCCGUGCCAGCAGCCGCGGUAAUACGGAGGGUGCGAGCGUUAAUCGGAAUUACUGGGCGUAAAAGCGCAUGCAGGCGGCUUGUUAAGUCAGAUGUGAAAAGCCCGGGCUUAAACCUCGGAAAAUUGCAUUUGAAAAACUGGCAGGCUAGAGUCUUGUAGAGGGGGUAGGAAUUUCAGGUGUAGCGGUGAAAAUGCGUAGAGAUCUGAAGGAAUACCAGUGGCGAAGGCGGCCCCUCGGACAAAGACUGACGCUCAGAUGCGAAAGCGUGGGGAGCAAACAGGAUUAGAUACCCUGGUAG
rnacentral:rRNA from 1 species